CGGGAUGUAGCGCAGCCUGGUAGCGCACUUGUCUGGGGGACAAGGGGUCCCGAGUUCGAAUCUCGGCAUCCCGACCA
rnacentral:tRNA from 1 species